rnacentral:tRNA from 1 species
GCCUUCGUGGUGUAACGGUAGCACACUCGACGCGUAUUCAAGAGGUCCAGGUUCAAGUCCCGGGUAGGGCA